UACGGGGGGGGCAAGCGUUGUUCGGAAUUACUGGGCGUAAAGGGCUCGUAGGUGGCCAACUAAGUCAGACGUGAAAUCCCCAGGCUCAACUUGGGAACUGCGUCUGAUACUGGAUGGCUUGAAUUCGGGAGAGGGACGUGGAAUUCCAGGUGUAGCGGUGAAAUGCGUAGAUAUCUGGAGGAACACCGGUGGCGAAGGCGACGUCCUGGACCGGCAUUGACGCUGAGGCGCGAAAGCCAGGGGAGCAAACGGG
rnacentral:rRNA from 1 species